UAAAGAGGCUGGUGAGGGAAGCCACAAAGGACCCCCCUCCCCCCAUAGACAACUCCACAGGAUGUUAGAAGCGAACAUGGUAACUUUUGCAUCACCAGAGCCAGCUCAAUGGUGAAAUGAAACAGAGAAAAACUUUGAGACAUAAAGGGAUAUGAAAUUAGGCUCACAUUUCCCGUGUACCUUCUGUCACUAAGAUUUCAUGUUUUCAUGUUUCAUGUCCAAAAAGGCCUUUUCUCUUCGGGUCCAGCAUGAAGCUUUGGUGAAACAAGAGACCAAGUUGCUCUACACCCAUUUUCUCUAAUCACAGCCACUGAAGCUUAUAUAUUAAAGCGUUGUCAUGGUGUCUUGGUGGUUUCCCUCACUAGUUUCUUUAUGAGGGUUUGUUCAUUUUUAUUUUAUUUUAUUUUAUUUUUUGGGGGGGGGGGGGGGGAUUUAUUUGUUUAAACAGAUUUACCAUGAAGUACUGUGCCGUUUCUUUUUAAUGAGUGGUUUAAAUGGACUCUGAGACAUGCGGUACUUUAAUAUUUUGUAUCCAUCUCUUGACUUGUCUAAAGAAAACUGGUUGCAAAAUUAUGUUAAAAGGUAUAUUAUACUUAUACAAUCUGUUAUUUUGGCUUUGUGGUUCAUAUUAUGUAGAGGUUUUUCUCCCCCCAAGACAUUAAUGAAUAUAGUUCUACAAAUUUUUACAUUGUUAAGCAUGAUUUUUUUCUGAUUAUUAUUUAUAUUUAACAUAAAAAAUAAAAAUGUAUAAAAGCCUAUGGAUUAAUAUACUGUCUGGCAGUUUUUGAGUGAAAUCCCAGUGACCUGCCAAGAUUAAUAGCCAUAGUAAUGUGAUGGUUCUGUUGCUUUAUUAGCCCACAGCUCAUAAUGCGACAUGAUGGAUUUUACGCCACCUAGUGGUAAUAUUUCAGAAUGCAACCCACCCAGUUCUCUGUAACUGUGUUCUCAAAAAAGUGGGAAAAUGUGUACAUUUACACAGGCCGCAUGCUUAUUCGUACUCCUGAGUUCCUUCCCCUGUACACUGGAAUCAGCAAGAUUUAUAUAGCUAACAACACGGACUCGGACGUUACUCCUCCAUCUCACUUUACCGUAUUGUUUAUAAUAGAUAUUGGAUUACGAUUUGUGGCUUCCAGUGCACUAACUGUGUAUGCUUUAGCUGAGCCUCUGUGAAAGCCAGACAAUGACAGAAAAACUGACUCACUUGCAAACUUUGAUAUUUCAUAGCCUGGAAAGGUUUGGAAUCAGUGAAACAGUACAACAGUGUAACUUCAGUUACUUGAAGUCUGUAGUCACGAUGGCAGUCAGUGUCGUCCACAGUGUGUCAGUCUGCAUUUUGGUUCAGUUAUUAUGUUUGGUUGCAAUUUGAAACCUCAACACUAGAUGGCAUCAAAGGCACCAUCAUGCUGCUUUAAUGCAGGUGAGCUACAGUGUAACGCAUUUCACAUUUGCAUCACUUGUUGUCAAGCAAACUCUCAUUUGGGGCUAUUAUUUAAAAGUAAGCAAAUAAAGCAGCCUUUUUGAGGAAGCCUGUCCAGCUCUGAGCCUGGGAAUCGAUCAGUUUUUACUCCACCAUCACACCUUCUUCAGUAGGUUCCUAUUUAAAUCAGUGUUGCCUCCAUUGUAUUUAUUUAUUUAUUUUAGCACUUUAAAAGAAACAUUUCAAGUGCUGUGAAUUUGUUUUAGCCAAGAUUAUUAUCUCUGGUUAUUAGUGCUGUAAAUGUGUUUUUAGCCCGUUGCUGUACAAGUAUCUUGCUGCUUUUCUUUGCUUGCUCGCUGUGUCACAGUCAUCCAGUCAUAUGAGAAAACCCAGACAGAUAAAACACACACAUACACAAAUAAAGCUGCACAAAGCCCAUUUUCUUCUACUUUUUUCCAAUAAGUGACAAAAAGAAAGGAAUUGUGGGUGCAACGAGCAUACUGUAAACUGUAAAGAAAGUAUUUUAAAUAAGCAUUGUGGAAGAUGUUUCCGUUUAAACUAGGGAUGUGCCAGGCCGAUAUUUUGGAUCGGUAUCAGCCCGAUAUUGGCUAAAAUUACUGGAUCGGAUAUCGUGAAUUAAAAAAACAAAAACAUUUGAUUCAAAUCUUCUGUUGCACAACUGAGUCAUGUUGUAUGCUGUGUACUGUAUGUUUUAUGAAUGUAUGUUAGGGGAGUAGAAUAUUUGUUUCACAGGUGGCGAAGUACAUCCAGACAAAUGUAUUUAUUAAAAGGUAUCAAUCGGUAUCCGUAUCCACAGAAACUGAGUAGCGGUUUCGGACAUAAAAAAAAGUGGCAUCAUGCAUCCCUACUUUAAACCCCUAGUUUACACAUUAAUGUAAACUAUAACAUGACACAUAGAAAUAGUUACCUCUUUACUGCUGUGUGGUGUAACAACAGCACAGAAAACAGUUUUUGUUGAUGUCAUUGCACCUGCAUGCUGCAUUGUGUAUUUUGUUCUUAAUUUGACAUAUGUUGUAUAUAUGAGUCACUGGAGCCACUGUAACACUGACUCAUGUCAUGUUGCCAUUUUGCUCCAGAAGCAGCAGUAUUUUCUAGGCAAUGAUCUGUUUUUUUUUUUUUUUUAAUCAUUCACAAGCCUGUUCUUCUCACAUGUAAAUCUGUUGGAAAACCUGUUUGUAAAAAUGCGAUGAACAUA